GGUGGGCAGAACUGGGGAAUUGAACUCAAGCCUUCACACAUGCCAGGAAAGUUGGAAAGCACCCGGAGAUCCAAGCAUAAAUUGGCUAUACCCUUGUACAGAAGAUGCACUCUUCAAGACCAUGGAGCCAAGCUAAGCUUGGGAGCAGACACUUGCAUUCCCAAGUACUCAAGAGGCUACAUGAAGCAGGAGGAUUACUUGAUGCCAGGAGUUGGAGGCCAGCCUAGUCCAACAUGACAGAAAUCUAUACAGAAAGAAACAAAGGAAAAAGGAGAAAUCAACUUCACGCCUUGCCAGGACCUGGCGUCCGCUUUUACCUGUCUCGGAGCUCAUCUUGCUCUGUCUCUGGACUCCUUCCUCUGCAGCUUAUGUGGUAAUGAUGGCUUCUGCCAACUGUGUGCCUGAACUUCGUUUCCUGGGGUGUGCCCACAGCCAUCUGCACAGACAGAGGGUGACUCAUUCUUGAGGAUAAGCUGUCACUUGAUAUCUGAACUAUGUAAAUGAGGAAGGAAGAGGCUUUUGGCUUUUUAUCCUCCGGGGUGAGGAAGCCGGUGGCAUGGGCACAGUAACCCUCAGUUCUGCAGGGUAGAACACCGAUGACAUAAACUUCAAAUGUUUAAUAAACUUCAGAUGCUUUCCACUAAUAACCGAAUUUAGAAAGCUUUCUCCUUCCUUCAAGUUCGAGUAGGACUGGGAGAGAAGACAGAACAGAGGUCAGAGAGAAUGAAACCAAUUCUGUAUCUCGAAAGGCUUCAGUGUGACCCAGCUAGCAUCAAAUUCUUGUCAGUGCUCCCGUCUCAGCCUUGAGUUUAAAUCAGACAGCGUGGUGCAUGUCUUUAAUCCCAGCACGUAC